rnacentral:rRNA from 1 species
GACGUAGGGCGCGAGCGUUGUCCGGAUUUAUUGGGCGUAAAGAGCUCGUAGGCGGCUUGUCGCGUCGGCUGUGAAACCCGCGGCUCAACUGUGGGCGGGCAGCUGAUACGGGCAGGCUGGAGUUCGGUAGGGGAGACUGGAAUUCCUGGUGUAGCGGUGAAAUGCGUAGAUAUGUGGAGGAACACCGAUGGCGAAGGCAGCCCCCUGGGCUAACACUGACGCUCAUGCACGAAAGCGUGGGGAGCAAACAGG